rnacentral:rRNA from 1 species
AACGAACGCUGGCGGCAGGCUUAACACAUGCAAGUCGAACGCUCCGCAAGGGGAGAGGCAGACGGGUGAGUAACGCGUGGGAACGUGCCCUAAGGUACGGAAUAACUUCGGGAAACUGAAUCUAACACCGUAUGUGACCGAGAGGUGAAAGUGUAUCGCCUUAGGAUAGGCGCGAGUCAGAUUAGCUAGUUGGUGGGGUAAUGGCCUAACAAGGCGACGAUCUGUAGCUGUUCUGAGAGGAAGAUCAGCCACACUGGGACUGAGACACGGCCCAGACUCCUACGGGAGGCAGCAGUGGGGAAUCUUGGACAAUGGGCGCAAGCCUGAUCCAGCCAUGCCGCGUGGAUGAUGAAGGCCUUAGGGUUGUAAAAUCCUUUCGCCGAGGACGAUAAUGACGGUACUCGGAGAAGAAGCUCCGGCUAACUUCGUGCCAGCCGCCGCCGUAAAAC